UACGUAGGGGGCAAGCGUUAUCCGGAUUUACUGGGUGUAAAGGGAGCGCAGACGGUAUGGCAAGUCUGAUGUGAAAUGCGGGGGCUCAACUCCCGAGCUGCAUUGGAAACUGUCGAACUAGAGUGCCGGAGGGGUAAGCGGAAUUCCUAGUGUAGCGGUGAAAUGCGUAGAUAUUAGGAGGAACACCAGUGGCGAAGGCGGCUUACUGGACGAUUACUGACGCUGAGGCUCGAAAGCGUGGGGAGCAAAC
rnacentral:rRNA from 1 species